rnacentral:rRNA from 1 species
ACGUAUGGGGCGAGCGUUGUUCGGAAUUAUUGGGCGUAAAGGGCGCGUAGGCGGGUAUAUAAGUCACGUGUGAAAGCUCUGGGCUCAACUCAGAAACUGCACCUAAAACUGUAUCUCUUGAGUUCGGGAGAGGAAGGCGGAAUUCCAGGUGUAGCGGUGAAAUGCGUAGAUAUCAGGAGGAACACCAGUGGCGAAGGCGGCUCACUGGACUAGAACUGACGCUGAGGCGCGAAAGCGUGGGGAGCGAACAG